rnacentral:lncRNA from 1 species
GAGCUGGUUUUCUCCAGGGCACUUGCCAAUUUCCAGCAGCAGUGCUACUAAAACAGUGCCGUGGUGAUGAUGAAGUGAAUCAUUGGUACGACACUUUCUGAAUCCUUAGGGGCUCCUCCUGAACAAGCUUCCCAUACACAUGGAUGAGCAUCCUAGGGAAGAAGCAGAGUGAGCCUCCGGGGAGUCAGUGCAUGGACAACUCUAGAAGUUUCUAUGGGGAAGAAACCUUGGCAAGGACUUUGGAAUCACACCACUUGAAUAUAUUCAAGAGUGCCAUUUUGCCAGCAUGCCACUGGACAGAUCUCAAGAUGUUUCUAGCAAAAUUGUGGGGCUGUAGUUAUGGAUUGCUUGCUGUGGGGCAGAAGGAAGAGACUAGUCAUUCAGUAAAAGUUGUUGCCUUUUAA